rfam:Leptospira wolffii serovar Khorat str. Khorat-H2 ctg1134730598558, whole genome shotgun sequence.
GGAGAUGUGCCUGAGCGGUCGAAAGGAGCAGUUUGCUAAACUGUCGUAUGGGGUAACCUGUACCCAGGGUUCGAAUCCCUGCGUCUCCG